rnacentral:tRNA from 1 species
ACUAGAAUCUGCUAAUACAUAAGCAAUUGGGCCCAUGCCCCAAAAAUGAUAAUAUAUCUUCUAGUG